GAUGAAGAACGUAGCGAAAUGCGAUACGUAAUGUGAAUUGCAGAAUUCAGUGAAUCAUCGAAUCUUUGAACGCACCUUGCGCCCUUUGGCCAUUCCGAAGGGCAUGCCUGUUUGAGUAUCAUGAACACCUCAACUCUCAUGGCUUGCCAUGAUGAGCUUGGACUUUGGGGGUCUUGCUGGCCUGUGGUCGGCUCCUCUCAAAUGAAUCAGCUUGCCAGUGUUUGGUGGCAUCACAAGUGUGAUAACUAUCUGCGCUCGUGGUUUCCAUCAGAUAACCUCCAGUGAUGGAGGUUCGCUGGAGCUCAUAAAUGUCUCUCCUAAGCGAGGACAGCUCUUUUAAUGUUUGAUCUCAAAUCAGGUAGGACUACCCGCUGAACUUAAGCAUAUCAAUAAGCGGAGGA
rnacentral:misc_RNA from 1 species